CGCUGAUACAAAGAUCGAAUUGAUCCAUUUCUACAUUGAAUACUGCCAUAAGAUACGUUUAAAUAGCAAUGGCCAACACCCAGGUUAUUCCUGAAGGCGGUACCUGGUUUGAUACUCUCACGAGGGGCUUUGAUGCCGUCCCUGUCGCCGACGAUAACGCGAUUUCAACCUCCGAGUUCCUCGAAGCCGCUGAGUCUUUGACUACGCUCUUUGAUCUCCUGGGUUCAGUUGCCUUUACUCCAGUGAAAAAUGACCUUCUGGGCAACAUCAAGAAAAUCAGAGAUAGACAGCUUGCGGCACCGCAGAAUCAGAAACUCUGCAAGCCCUCGUUCUCAAUGAAAUAAAAGCUAAAAAGAACACUGCCAGUGUUGGUUUCCUUUGGCUUGUCCGGGGUCUUGACUUCACUGCCAAAGCCCUUCGCCAUAAUAUAUCCUUUCCUAAUGACGAAUUAUCCACUUCAUUCCGUGCAGCUUACGGUGACACCCUGAAACCACACCACAAUUUCCUCGUGAAACCUAUUUUUGUCGCCGCCAUGGGAGCAACCCCUUAUCGCAAGGAUUUCUAUGCUAAACUGGGAAAUGAUCCUGCCAAGUGCCAGGCAGCUCUGGAGCUGUCUACAGCUUCGUUGGAGAAAAUAGUGUCCAUCCUUAAGGAAUUCCUAGAGACACCAGAGGUGAAGAAAGCGUGUUCAUAGUAGUGUUGGAUAGGUUAAUAUCCUCCCAUUUGUCUGGUUUUCUAUCUUUCUCAUUGUUUGAGAUAUGGGCACGAUUUCAUUUGGUCGCCAGACCAAACAAAGUCUAGAUUUCCACAACAGAUAUUCGAUUAUAUGAUAUCCUAUCCAUUGCGUUGUAGUAUGAAGUGUCAUCCAACAUCCAACAUUGAAGAUAAAGCCCCAACAGAGGUGUUUUGCUAAAGAACCAUGUGAAAUUCUGUACAUACAUGCCUAUACACUGAUGGAAUUAAUAAAGUAAGACCAAUGAACUGAUUUAAUUAUAGUCAAUUUUGUCAUCACAAUGCAUAGUUUUGUUCCUGGGGCUUUAAGCCAGACAGACAUUUUGAAGCCUAUCCACCAUUGCUUCCUAGAGUAGACAAAAAAAAAAAGGAAAAGAAAAUUGAACAGGAACACAUGCAAAAAUGAAGAGAUAUGAUACCAUACUCCUUACCAUUAUACUAAAUCAAACGGGCUAUUUUAAUUCUAACAAGCCAAAAUGAAAAGAAAAGUAAUAAUCAUUGAUAAACUUAGGAAUUAAGAUGGAAAAUGUUUCCAAUCCCCUCACGCCCAAAGAUAUCGCACGGAGAACAUCUCUAUAAAGAUCAAACCUUCCUCUUCGAUUCUUUCUCAUUCUCCUCCGCCACUGCUUCUUUCCUUUUCCUCUCCUCUUCCCAUGCCAACUGAUCGGGCCUCCGCACCGCAAUAUCCUUAGGCCUGUAAUCGCUAAAAUACGUCUUCAAGAUAUUCUCGAUGAGCCAGCAACCGGCGUAAUCCGCCAGCAUCAGUGCUGUUAAGGUGACCUUAAACAUGGUCGUAAAUGGAACAAGGCGGAGCUUCUCGUUGAGUUCCGGAAUGAACUCCGUCGCGCAGGAGAAGGCGACGCCGGAUGUCAGGAUGAGACCCCAGUACAUACCACGGUUUUCACGGAUAGAUUCGCGGAACGGACGGCCUUGGUAAUUUAUGGAGAAGGUGGAGAUUUGCUGAAUUAGUUGGAGGAGGUAGAUGGCACUGUUGAGGAGGGAGGGUUCAAAUUCGCCUUCUAGGUCGAUGACUUCUUUUUUAGGCUCUAUGGUAUAGACGUAGUUGGAUAGAUAUAUCAAGGUUGCGACGUGGACCGCGAAUUGGCCCAGGACGGACCCCAUGAUGUACAUGUUGAAUAUGUUAGGUUGUGGACGCUCUUUGGAAAGACCUUCGACAGACUUCGCACGAGAAAUUGACAAAAAGCAAACGCUCAUUAGUAUGCCGCUGAUAGUUGCCUGACCAUCACCAAAUCUAAUGCCGUCAAGGUAUAUGACACUUAAACUGUACGCACUGAUUAAGCAGUUAAGCGCAAGGAUCUUAUACAUCUGGAUAGUUGCAACCAGCGUGCAUCGGCCUUGACGGAUAAUAUUGGGGAUUGCAAUAACGUUUGCAAGUUUGCUGGUGAAAGGAGCGGCAACCGAAGCAUCUCCAAGCUUGAUCGUGGGGGGUUCGUUGUCAUCUAAUUCUUGUUCCAUCAUCGUGGCCGUCAGCUUAUCGGCAAAACCGGCUGCAGCAAGCGACGCCUGGCGUUGCUGGAGUUGCUGAGGCGUUAGGUUCAUGGUCGAUUGCUGUAUGGCAUGUGCACCUGGAGAGGUGACGGUUGGGAUUCCAUUUCCUUCAACGGCGGCGGGGGCAGUGAUGCCUUUCCUUUGUGCCUCACGAAUCAAUGCUUUUUCGUAGUGAGGGUUGUUUGGUCCAGGAGGAUAUAGAUGCGCAAUGUUUGCCGGAAUUGGGGGGGCGGGUUGAUUAAAUCUUUGCAUCAACGAGACUUGCUUCUCGUAGAUCUCUUUCAUCUUGGUGUUCCUCCAAUGCUCUGCGAUUUUAUUGAGAUCAUCCUGAGAGCCGUUCAACAGGGCGACACCAACAUGAGCUUGUUUGAGUGCACCAACAUCAUUAGUGCCAUCGCCGCACAUGAGAGUCGUAUAUCCAGCAUCCUUCAUACCCAGAAGAAUGUCUUCCUUCUGCUUCGGGGAGACACGAGCAUACACCCAGGUAUGGCGGAGAAGAUCGGGGAGAGCCUUUUUGUUUUUGAACUUUGUCAACGCGUAGCCUGUAACGCAAAGAUCCUUGGUUUCCAGAAUUUCACGGUCCAAAGGUUGCGUGGGAUCAACAUCAACACUGAAAGAAUCGUCGAUAGUUCGCCAUACGAGUUUUGUUCCAGAGUUGUCGUUCUCUGGUGCAUCAAGGAUUAGCACUUCUCUAUCAACUAUUUCUACCUGUCGAGCAACAUGAGCUGCUGUGAGAGGGUUAUCGCCG
rnacentral:sRNA from 1 species